AAUUACUCUUUGCUAUUUUUAAGGGUCUCUUCUACUGCUUUUUAAAUUUCCCAGUCUCUUGCAGCUCUAUAUAAAUGUUUACAGAAUUGAUUAUGAAGGCAAACGUAUCAUUGUGGUUCCGGGUCACAAGACACUUGUGUUGUGAAAUCCUCCUUCAGAUGCAGUUCGUUUGCUUCCAUUGCAUCAAAUGGCUGAUGAGAUUUAGUUGCUGUAUUAGGCAGAGGUAGAGGCAGCAAAGCAGGAGCUGCUUGCUCGUUUCAGACCUGCACAGUGUCUCAGCUGGAACUUGCUCAUUGAGGCCAAUGAAAACUCAGGUCCCUGAGCACUGGAACCACCAGAAGGCAACAAGUGUAGUUCUGUUGAUGUAAGAUCAGACUGGAAUUGCAUCUGCUUUGGGACAAUACAGACCACACUCCUUCUUCUACCACGAAGAUGCAACAAAGUUUAAUGCUGAUGUUGUUAAACCCUGUGACUGACUGCUCCACAGCUCAUUAUGGCUAGGGGUCUCAGAAAGGUCCUCACAAACUCAACCUGGGAAUUGGAAGCUCAUCUCUAAAUGACACUCAGCUGUGACGAAGAUAGCCAAUCUUCCUAACAACACCUAAAACUUUACAGCUGUCCAUCCACUCAAGUUUGUCUUUGUCUCCCUACAAUGGCCCCACUGCCAAGGCCACUCACGUUGUUCCUACCCCAGCUCUUUUCCUAAUCCAGUGUUUGAUUCAGAGCAGGUCACUGAUUCCACCCUGGGCUCUGAAGCAAAGGCUGUUAAUGCAACUCUGAAAAAAUAAGAUGAGAUUGAAAUGUUAUUUGUCAAGUGUGCUGUUCUAAGAUCUAUGGGAAGGAGCUGUAAAAUGAUCCUGCCUUUCAAAGUUUAUCCUGCAGAAAGAAUUAAUAUGAAAUGGCCUUAUUAGCAAGCUAUCAUUUACUCCCCUUGGAGCUUUCUGCAGGGUAAGAUACUCAGGCUAACCACAGCAUAUCCUAGCAUUGGAAAAAUCUGUGGAAAAACUUGUGCCUUGGGGCAGAACUUCAGAGAAGUAGAAAUAUAUUGUCUUUAUCUGCUGUUUCUCUCCCAUCUCUUUGCUGGGGUUGUAGGCACUUGCGUUUGAUGAACUUUUGUCUUUGCUGCCCAGCUUCUCUGUUUUGUUUGAUCACACAGCAAGGUCAGAAUCUGUAUUUUUGAUUCCAUUUGUUGCCAUGGAAAUACCUCUCCUAUCACA